AUUAACUUAGUACAUUAAAAAUUUAGUACAUUUCAUUUACAUUGAAAAAAUCUUCUUAAAGAGUUAAUCCU
rnacentral:tRNA from 1 species